AUGGCCUGUGACAAGGGAUGCGCUGAAAUAUCUCGGGCGGUGCUUCGGAAAUUCCUCCCUCAUCAAAGAUUUCAUCGUGUGUGCGACGAUGGGCUGCUGCUGGGAUGGAGGCAAGUGGUGCUUCUAGAGUACGUUGUCUUGAGCUCCGGGGUGAAACCCCAGCGUUCGAUGGCCGGGGAGCUACCACCAUCGAAGGAAUCUUUUCUUUUUGAGAGAACCAACGAAGGAAUCGUUCGCCAGGAGCAGCUCCCGGCGACCGUUUUCGCUCGUUCGCCAGCAGGCGAGCCCAGCGCGACCCCAGACCCAAAACGCCCAGUUAAAGCGUUCGCCCGAAGCAGCUGGACAGCAAAGCACUCGAGCAAUCAUACGUGGCGUCGGCUCUACGCCGAGACUCGUGCAAUGAUAGGGAGAAUGUUCAUUGCGGCUCUCCCAGCCGCCUCAUGCCCUCGUCCUCCGUCUCCUGAACCCUUCUAUACCCUUCCCAGUCCACUCCCCACCACCCCCUCUACUAGCCUUGCUCACUCCGGCUGCUCUGGCCUCCACCAAACCACCCGCCGGUCCACUCCCUCCGCCCCACUGACCUCCCCGCGGGGAUGGAAAACCCCGAUGGGCAUUCCUCGUUGUCGCCCUUCCUUGAGCUCCCGCACACCUGUGUUCGCUGCAAUGCCCAAAGCGGGGGAGUCGGCGUAUGUCGACCCAUACAGGGAGAUGCUCGACAUCAUCCACGACGGAGGCGAGGGAGAAGGAGGGGGCUAUGAGGACAGCCAGGUGGAAGACUCAGAUCCCACCCAGUUUGGCAACAACCAGCAACAACAGCCCUACAACUCAGACGACCACGCAGCACAACCGAAGGGGGAGGGGGAGGAGGACAGUGAGGACAACGAUCCGGAUGAUACAGUUGGCGAUCCGAAGAAGAAGGGUAGAGGAGAAAGUUUCAACAUGCAGAAGGACGAGUUGUUGUGCGAUGCAUGGUGGACCACGAGCAUUGAUCCGAUCCAUGGCACGAAGCAAAAGGGCACAACCUUUUGGAGGCCCAUUCAGAUAUGGUUCCAUGAACACAAGCAUUUCACACCCUACUCCAACGUGGUCAUCCGUAACCGUGAAUGGAAGUCCCUCAAUCAUCGAUGCUACACGAUUCAAGAGACCAUGUCCAAGUAUUGCAGGCACUUGAAUGUGGACUCUUUGGAUGCCGACGCAAGGAUCAUCAUGCAACCCGUUCGCUACCAGAUGUUGCAGCAGCAGAAAGAUCAGUUGGCGGCGGCGGACGUCGAGGACACGACAGAGGCGUAUGCGGACACGGAGGCGGAGGCUGCCUACGAUGCGGUGACGGCACCACCUUGA
rnacentral:rRNA from 1 species